UUAUUUAAUUAAUUUCAAAAAAUUAUGAAACCUUUUAGGUAAUUUAAUAUUAGUUUUACGAAUUUAAAUUAUUAUUUUCUAUUUCAAAAUUUAAUUAAUUUUUGCUAAUAAAUAGUGGAGAUAAAAAUAAUAAAUUUAACAAAAUAAAAGAUGAUUAAAAAAAUUCUUGACGAUUUCUCGACGAACAAUGAAAUGGCCGUACCCGCCCGCGUGAAAAGAGAGUAAUAAACCUCUAAAGAAGAAGACUCGUCUCCAGUUACGUUCCUCAUCUUCUACACCGUUGACGAUAUACAUAAUUUCUCUUUGUCUCUUCUUCGGCUGAUCAAACACGCAAGCGAUUUCUAAACUAUCCAUGGAUUCUAUUGAUACUGGUGCUAGUGAUGGAGCAUCUAAAGCUCCGUGUAAAAGACUAUUGGUUCGGUGGCUAAGUCUGAUGACUACAGGAGAGUUUUAGCUGAUCCAUUGUAUACUAUGAUGAUACGUCAAGCUCUUUAUUCUACUGAUGAAACCUGCCAAGCAAAUGAGUUCCGUAGCCAAGAAGGAAGAGGUUGUGAAGAGAUUGAAUCAAAGUUGGAAUCUUCACAUUGCAAAGAGAUGUUACUGAGAUUGAGGAAGAAGGAUGUGAUGAUGGUGAAGAUGAGACUUUCUGCAAUGCAUUAGAAUAUGGACUGGCUCCUACAGGUGGCUGGGGAUUGGGUAUAGACAGGCUUGCCAUGCUCUUGACAGACUCGCAGAACAUCAAGGAGGUUAUUCUCUUCCCGGCAAUGAGACCACAAGACGAUCCAGCAACCGUUAAAGGUUCUUUGCAAGCAGAUAACAAAGGAGAGUAGAGCACAGUUUUCAUCUCUUAUGCCUCUAAAGUUUGGUAGUCCAAUUGCUAUUGUGCAAAUUUAGUUUCGAUGUACGAACAACCCACAUUUUUACAGUCAACUUGUCAUUAUCAAAAACCUUUCAAGGCUUUUUUGGAUCUCGUUUGUUGUUUUCUAAUUGUAAAUUCGUUCUCA